UACGUAGGGGGCAAGCGUUGUCCGGAUUUACUGGGCGUAAAGAGCGUGUAGGCGGCCAAACAGGUCCGUUGUGAAAACUGGAGGCUCAACCUCCAGACGUCGACGGAAACCGUAUGGCUAGAGUCCGGAAGAGGAGAGUGGAAUUCCUGGUGUAGCGGUGAAAUGCGCAGAUAUCAGGAAGAACACCCGUGGCGAAGGCGGUUCUCUGGGACGGUACUGACGCUGAGACGCGAAAGCGUGGGGAGCGAACAGG
rnacentral:rRNA from 1 species